UUGUGCGUGGUGCCAUGGUGCCCGGGCAGGACUUCGCCCUGCUGCUACAACAAACAAAGCGCGGAGGGCGAGCGUGUGCAGUUUCCUAAACUCCCUGCUGCGACCUCACCCGUGCCGGCGAUCACCCAGCUGCCUGGGUUCCGGCUGUGUGCCCGCAAGGACACCCAUGCGGACCUGGAGGAAGCCCUGAGCGGCCUCCGAGGACUGGGCUCCCUAACCCCUGACACUAAUUUCCCCAAACCCAGUUGUUUCGUUCUCGGUAGAAGCGCUGCUCGGAUCCACUUUUUUCGAGUUCUCACAGCCUGACCCAACGUGGUUGGUCGAGUGUGUGAAAAAUGAAAGUUUUUUUUCUGUUGCAGAAACCUCACUUUAGAGGAGAGGGCAGACACAGGAGCGCAUGAUUAUCAAAACAUCGGACUGGAAGUUCGGAAAGACUUCCCGGAGAAAAUGACGAGUGAGAUAAAAACAGAAUUAAAGAAGGGACCCUCUAGGACAUACGCGUUGUACAGUCACCUCCCCCUGGAGGACAACGUGCUGGAAUUUAGGGAAAGCAACCGGCGCUAACCAGACCCGGUCCUAUAGAGUUAGGAUUUUGUUCCUAAGGGGAGGUUGGCAGCGUUCAAAGUAUGCGCUCAGAAGGGUGUGAAAAAAAGUGGGAUCAGGGAUAGCAUGGCUUCAGGCCCUAGGGAUGAUGAGGCUGAAGGUAUCAGGCAGUGGAAGAAGGACAUACUGAGGAAGUGGGGCAGGGACAGGAUGGCAUUCAGGAGGGAUGGUGUCAAGCAGAAUGCAUGAUGCUUCUUGAAGGGCUUGCAUGGGUGGUGGGUUUGAGCCAGCUUGGUAAUUACAGAAGGGAAUGAGUUUGAGGGAGUAGUGGUUAACACUUGUAGGUCACUUUCCGCGUGCCAGGGUCUACAAGACAUGUGAGUCUGCCAUUUAAUCUCCGUGCCAAGGUUCUGUGUCAGCGCCUAUCAGUAGUGCGCUCAUUUUACAACGGAGAGAGCGAGCAAGGCCUCUUUCAGUUAACUGCCAUGCCCAAGGUCACACAGCUGGACGAGUUUUCUUUUGGAGGCUUGUGCCAUUUGAGUUGCCCUGAGAUAGUAAGUGAGGGUUUCUGGGGGUCAAUCCUGUACAACUGGAAGGAACUGAAACAGGACAGAUAGACUUUAAGAACAAGAGUUUGGGAAGAAAAAAAUACCUCUGGAGAGUGAUCAGCCCUGUCCAGGGAGAAGGUUCUAGUCCAGCAGGGUAAGGAUUGAGAAAUACCUCAGUAUGAUAGUUGUGGUUAACAAAAUAGCCAUUAGAGAGGAUUCUAAAUAUAUCUCGCACACAAAGAAGCAAGAUUACUGGUGGCGCAGGCUUUUAGUUCCAGUGCCCUGAAGACAGAGGCAGGCAGAGCUCUAUGAGUUCAAGGUCAGACUGGUCUUCAGAGUUAGUUCCAGGACAGCCAAGGCUACACAAAGAAUUACUGUCUCAAUCCCCCCCCCCAAAAAAGAAAAACCUAAAUGAAUAAAUAAAAGUCUGCUUUAAUGACUGUGCCAUUUACCCUGAGCUAACCAUUACUCAGUGUCCACGUGCACCUUCUGUUCCACACUACCAAGUAAAUACGUCUAAUUCUUACAUAUCAUUUAAAAAUUAAAUCAUUGGAAAGCUCUGGGGACGUUGGUUUAGUAUCCACAAAUUUAUCUUACACUUUGGCUGGAGUGUUGAGGGCAAAAGCCCAAGAACUACACAUCACAGAAGAGGAAGGCAGGUCAAGAGAAUUUUACAGGCACGUUGUGCAGACAUUAGAGGACACUAGGAUAAGGGAAAAAUUUGUAUGAAGGUGAGAGGAGUGUGCUCACUUGUUUGCUAAAGCAAAGACAAAAUCCUUUUAGUCCUUUUUUGCUCCAUAUAUCCAGGACAGCGCUUGUCCACUUGCAUUGCUGUUAUCUGUGGGAGAGCCUGCAUCAAUCAAGUAUGGCAUACUCCUUCUCUCUACCUGUGUAUUAGUUACUUUUCUCCUCAUGUGACCUAGUAGCUGACAGACACAGCUUGAGAGAAGACAGGUUCAUUUUGGCUCACUAUUUAGAAGGUACGGUCCAACAUGGCAGGGAAAAUGUGAUGGUUGGAAUGGGUUGGUCCAUGGCAGAGGGAGCCAGGAAGCAGAAAGCUUGGGCAAGAAACUGUAUUGCUGUGUAUGCUCUCAGUAUUCCCCCUCUCAGGACGAAGACCUCCCUCCUAAAUGUUUCCCACCAGCUCGUACCAAGUAUUCAAACAUGAGCCUUCAGUGAACUUGACUGUAAGUCAUCACUACUACCCUGAAGAUGCUCACAAGAUGAUAUUUUUUCUUCCUCUUCAACCAACAGGUUUUAUUUUUAUUUAUUUAUUUUAUCUUAGAUAUCAAGGAAAUUGGUCUGGGUAAGGAAUUAUGAAAAUUUGAGCUGGAACCAGUGGGGACACUAAGGGAGAAGACGACAGGCUCAGCUCUGAACUGGUGUCUUGGAGAGUCAAUGCACAACGGAUGGUUAAGAGUGCAACUCUUUGUAGUGAGAGAACAGCAGCCCAAACGAGCACCUGCUCUGCAACCCAUCCUCUUGAGAUGUCCAUGUGUAAGGAACAAGAUUUCAGGUUAAAGCUCCUUGUGUUGGAGGUGGGCAACUUAGAUAGGGGUUGCUUACUGGAAAGGGUUGUUUGUUUUCUAUGUUGACAGUGCGUGGGAGGUUUAAAAGGUGCUCUAGAGAUGUGUGCUAUCAGCUAGACUUUGGAUACCUGAGCUGCAGUUUCUCGCAUUCCUCCAUUCUGAAGAAAAGGGACCUCUGCAGCUGUUCACACAGCCACUGCUGGACUUGUCUCUCUCUCUCGCUCCAGGCAGACCAGGCAAUCUUCUAUUUACACAGUUUUUGGGGCAAAUGACAAAAUCUCACAAGAGCUGUCCUUUGCUGGGAAGUUAGUCAAUCGCCAUGCCUCUCCUCUCUGGGACAGAUGCCAUGGAGCCAACCGCCAGGUCAUACAUGCUGAAUCUUUCCCGAUAGGCCCCGCGUGGCUCCUGCUUGUGCCAACUUCUGUCUGCAAGCUCUUAUGCUGUUACUGCCCAAAAGAUGCAGUUGUCUUGUCCACGGAGAUGACCACUGGCUCUCCCAUUUUGUUAGCAUAACAACCUACAGAGAUUGAUUUUGAGAAUCAAACCAACCUGACAUUCCUGAAUGAACUGUUCUCAUACUUCCAAUGCCUGCCCCGUUCUCACUUUCAAAUGAUAAUGUUGCUUCCAUGUCUCUUGGAGGACUUCCUCAGACCAACAUUUCUGCAUCCACCUGUCCUAGCCUCCUCUUCUGUCACCAAGGGAGUGGAAAGGCAGCGAGUGGUGAUGGAGUUUCUUCAGGACCCGUAAGAAGCCUCCUCUCACUGAUGAGAAUGCCGGGGGUGAGGGCAAACAUGGAAGACCCUGCUGGCGCUAUGCCUCGUGCUCACUCAACAUGCUGGAGCCAAUAGUGAAUAUUCAUGGAGCACUCACACGCAGCGCACGCCACACACUUUUCAUAAACAACACACCCGGAGUGAUGUAGGUGUGUCUUCUAUCUAUCUGAUGAUUUCAUUGGUUAAUUAAUAAAGAAACUGCUUGGCCUGAUAGGUUAGAACAUAGGUGGGUGGAG